rnacentral:lncRNA from 1 species
UUCCUUUAUUAUAUGACCUCAGUCUAAUAAUGUAUUAAUUAUAAAAAAGAUAAUGUAUUUGACAUUAAGUAUAACCAAUUUAGCACAGGGUCACCAAAAGGCCUUUUGUCAAAUCAGAUUGUUGUUUUGUCCUUUUGACUUUUACCUUAUGGUAGGCACUAACAAAGUAUCUGAACUUUGAUGGAUUAUAAACUCUAAACAUGAUAUGUAUUUUUCAUAAUGCUAAUGUAAUUUUCAAGGUACUGAAAAGGUCAAACCUGCACAUCUCUAUGUGCAUUCUAAGUCUGUCUUUCCCUUUAAUAUUUCUUUUUCUCUGUUCCUCUGGUUCAAAAGUUCACUCAGUUCCCAAAUGGCCACCUAAUUUUCCAGUUAUUCCCUCAAGCCAUAUGUGUUUUGGUUUCUUUAUGGUUUAUUAGGUACUGUAGGAAAGUAGCAUAAGUUAUAUCUUCUAAUGAAAUUCAAGCACACUUCAGUGAUGCUUCGACUUGAUUGCUGGUAGCAAUUAAAUCACAGCCAAGGAGAAUAAUGCAUAAUCUCACAAGGUCCAGACACCCUAUAGAAAAUGAAUAGAGAUGAAACAGAAAACAAAAACAAAAUCUCCAAACCCUGCCAGACAGGCUGUUUCCAGUCUGCCCUUUUUUUCUUUCUUUUUCUUUUUUUUUUUUUUAACUAGCCAGCUGCCUGAUUGAUAGCAAAAUCAUAACUUGCUGCAUGCUAACAGGCAAAGUUCACUUGUAGGUUAUUGUGAGCUGAUAAAGGGUUAGAUGGAGUUUUGAUUUUCGCAUUGGACCUUGGUACAUCAGAUUAAUGGAAUUUCAAUGAGAGACUAAGAGUAGCCACAGCUUUGUCAGAGAGACAGAUGGAGAUUCUAUAGUCCUGUCCUCUCAUUAAUACUAGUUACCUGAAAGGUGUGCUGCUUCUCUAUACAAAAGAGUUGAUAUAAUUGAUUUUUGAGUGGUACAUCGAAAAAAAGUACCUUAUUGAUGACUAGAAUUGUAACAUAAAUAGUGACAGAUUUUUGUGUGGCUUGUAACAUAAAAAUAUUGCACUUUGUAAUUUUUUUCUUCUUUGGAGACAAUUUUUUUUUUUUGAAGAGAAAUACAUUCUAAGAACAAUUGCAAAAAUAAAAAAAGAGACUACCAUGCUUAAAUUAUCUUUUAGGAAAAAGAGCAAGACUUUACAUUUUAUUUCUAAAUGAUUAUAUGACUUCUAUCAGAGCUUCAUUUUGAUAUGAUAAUAUUUUAAAAAAGCAUACUUAUUAAAAGUUUUAUUUUAUUAGCUUUAUUCUUUUCUGGAAUAUUAAAAAAUGAAUCAUAAUGGUUUCUAGGCUAUUGUAGAUACUGUGGAAGUUUCAUGUUCAUCGUUUGGAGAUAUAUUGGAGUGUUAAUAUUGUUAGAGAUAAUGAGACUUGAAACCUUAAAGAAGAAUUAUUGUACAUGUUACAACAUUUGGGCAUCAAGUGGUAGAUGCAAGGUAGCCGUUAGACACUAUAUAAUGACUUAAGUUUUCAUUUUUCUGUUCUGAAAUCAUUUUUCAUUUAUUUUUGUCAUUUGUGAAAGAAAGCUUCUAACCAUAUAGUAUUGUGGAGAGUCCCUGAGGUAGGUGAAAGGAUUCAGUGAGCUAGAAGACAUAUAUUGGCUCUGCUCGUCAAUGAUAGGUCGAAGGAUCCCAGUGGACAUUUGUUACAAAUCUGAUUCAGUCCUAGACCAUAAUCACUUUGUGGAUAAGAAUCUGGAACCUCUAGGGUGUGAAUGUAGGAAGGCUAAAAUGAAACUGAAGAUAUAGAAGAAUCAUUUAUUGUCGUGGUAUCUUUCUAACUGAAAAUUUCCAAAUGAAAUAAAGCUCUGGGCAUUGGUAAAGGUGUAGGUUUAUAUGAAACAAUGUUUGUUUAAGGAUGGAACUGUUUUUUUUUACAGCUUGGGAUUAAG